AACAGCUGACCUAUCUCUCCAGCCCCGAUUUUUGCUUUUUUGAUCCUCUUUGCUAAGUAUCUUUUUGAUAGCAUCUUGACAUUUAGGUAAAAGGAUAACAUUUGCUAACUGACAGAAUUAGAAGGCUCUGAGUGCUUGCCUGACAUAAGGGCAACCUUGGCUUCAAAACUGAGAACAUCUGGGUGGAGAGGUGCACACCUUUAAUCCUAGCACUCAGGAGCUGAGGCAGUCAGAUCUCUGUGAGUUUGAGGCCAGCCUGGUCUACAAGUGGGUUCCAGGACAGCCAGGGCUACACAAAGAAACAUAGAGAUAUUCCAAGUUUCUUGCUUUGAAUACUAUUAAUAAUCUUAACUGGCCCAUGAAAAUAAAUGAUUCCAAAUAUGCAGAAUAUAAAGAAUUAAUCUUGCUUUUGACUGAAAAGGUAUAAAUCACUCAAGUAGAAGAGGCAGCAAUAAGGGGAAUGGGAAAGUAUAUUUUUGUUGUCUUUUUUUUUUUUUUUAAUCUUCCCUCCUUUUAUCACAGGGAAGCAUCCUUAAUAAUAGCUUGAGUAGUUUGAUGAAACACCAGAAGGGAACUCCCAGGAGAGGAGGAUGGUAGUGGAGAGCCGUCUCCUAUGAAUCAUUUACAGAGCUUUUUUCUGAAACACAGCUUGCAUUUUUAAUGGAAGAUGAUUGUAU
rnacentral:lncRNA from 1 species